AUUCCAAACUGCACACUACUGGAUUCCAGCUUCUUUUGUUCUUUAGAGUGGUUUUGCCUUCUAAGUUUUCUUUAGAUUAAUGCUGCCAUCAGGCAGUCCACACUAUGCAACUGAGCAGGCUAACAGACUCGCAUAUAAUAUCCAUAAAAGUCCAACGUGAUCUACAUCAAAAGAAGGAUGACAAGGCUGGAUAUCCUUGUGGUUUUUAAUGUUAAAGAAAAGUAAAACAAACUGCUUCCACUAUAGUUUUUGAUAAAAACUUCCUGGCCUUGUGUAUCCACCAUAAAAUAAAAUAAAAAUGAA